GACGUAGGGCGCGAGCGUUGUCCGGAUUUAUUGGGCGUAAAGAGCUCGUAGGCGGCUUGUCGCGUCGACUGUGAAAAACCCGUGGCUCAACCAUGUGGUCUGCAGUCGAUACGGGCAGGCUAGAAUUCGGUAGGGGAGACUGGAAUUCCUGGUGUAGCGGUGAAAUGCGCAGAUAUCAGGAGGAACACCGGUGGCGAAGGCGGGUCUCUGGGCAACAACUGACGCUGAGGAGCGAAAGCGUGGGGAGCGAACAGG
rnacentral:rRNA from 1 species